GCUUAGGUGGUGGAAUGGUAGACACGCACGCUUGAGGGGCGUGUGCCGAAAGGUAUAGGGGUUUGAGUCCCCUUCUAAGCACCA
rnacentral:tRNA from 1 species